GCCGGAGUGGCGAAAUUGGUAGACGCACGAGACUCAAAAUCUCGCGGGGGUGACCCCGUGCCGGUUCGAUUCCGGCCUCCGGUACCA
rnacentral:tRNA from 2 species